rnacentral:rRNA from 1 species
CAAUAGCGUAUAUUAAAGUUGUUGCGGUAAAAAAGCUCGUAGUUGGAUUUCUGUCGUUUAGCUAGCCGGUCAGAACUUCGUUCUUGCAUCUGGCUUGGCUGCGGCAUCCACAUAGGGAACGUUAUUGCGCUUAAUUGCGUGGUGCGGUAUCUAUGUCUUUUACUUUGAGGAAAUUAGAGUGUUCACGGCAGGCAAUCGCCUUGAAUAUAUUAGCAUGGAAUAAUAACAUAGGAUCUUGGUCUUAUUUUGUUGGUUUCUAGGGCUAAGAUAAUGAUUAAUAGGGAUAAUUGGGGGUAUCUGUAUCAACGCGUCAGAGGUGGAAUUCUUGGAUUGCGUUGCGACAAACUACUGCGAAAGCAUUUACCAAGGAUGUUUNCAUUGA